rnacentral:rRNA from 1 species
CCUACGGGAGGCAGCAGUGAGGAAUAUUGGUCAAUGGACGAGAGUCUGAACCAGCCAAGCAGCGUGAAGGAUGACUGCUCUAUGGGUUGUAAACUUCUUUUAUAUGGGAGUAAAGUGUUCUACGCGUGGGAUUCUGUAUGUACCAUAUGAAUAAGGAUCGGCUAACUCCGUGCCAGCAGCCGCGGUAAUACGGAGGAUCCGAGCGUUAUCCGGAUUUAUUGGGUUUAAAGGGUGCGUAGGUGGAUUGAUAAGUCAGUGGUGAAAGUUUGCGGCUCAACCGUGAAAUUGCAGUUGAAACUGGCAGUCUUGAGAACAGUAGAGGUAGGCGGAAUGCAUGGUGUAGCGGUGAAAUGCUUAGAGAUCACGAAGAACUCCGAUUGCGAAGGCAGCUCACUAAGCUACAUCUGACGCUGAGGCACGAAAGUGUGGGGAGCAAACAGGAUUAGAUACCCCGGUAGUC